GCCAUGUCUUGAUCUUCCAAUGGGCGAGGUAAGUUUUGAGGCUUUCUUUGAUCCAAGAUAAUGACAUUGUAAGUUUAUUUGUUUCAAUCAUAGUUGGUUCCCUUCAAAUAGUUGUAGUGAAACAAUUUUGAUUAGUUGAAGGGGAACAAAAUCUAAUUGGAAUAGUGUUCCAUAAUCUGAAAAAUCGUAUUAGAAUCAACUAGUGUUUAAUAUGUUCCAUUGGAAUCAUAGUUGGUUCCCUUCAAAUAGUUGUAGUGAAACAAUUUUGAUUAGUUGAAGGGGAACACAAUCUGAUUGGAAUAGUGUUCCAUAAUCUGAAAAAUCGUAUUAGAAUCAACUAGUGUUUAAUAUGUUCCAUUGGAAUCAUAGUUGGUUCGCUUCAAAUAGUUGUAGUGAAAC
rnacentral:lncRNA from 1 species